GCUUGAAUGCUUGAAUGAUGCUUCACGA
rnacentral:sRNA from 1 species